rnacentral:rRNA from 1 species
GAUGAACGCUGGCGGCGUGCCUAAUACAUGCAAGUCGAGCGAACAGACGAGGAGCUUGCUCCUCUGACGUUAGCGGCGGACGGGUGAGUAACACGUGGAUAACCUACCUAUAAGACUGGGAUAACUUCGGGAAACCGGAGCUAAUACCGGAUAAUAUAUUGAACCGCAUGGUUCAAUAGUGAAAGACGGUUUUGCUGUCACUUAUAGAUGGAUCCGCGCCGCAUUAGCUAGUUGGUAAGUUAACGGCUUACCAAGGCAACGAUGCGUAGCCGACCUGAGAGGGUGAUCGGCCACACUGGAACUGCGGCACGGUCCAGACUCCUACGGGAGGCAGCAGUAGGGAAUCUUCCGCAAUGGGCGAAAGCUUGACGGAGCAACGCCGCGUGAGUGAUGAAGGUCUUCGGAUCGUAAAACUCUGUUAUUAGGGAAGAACAAAUGUGUAAGUAACUAUGCACGUCUUGACGGUACCUAAUCAGAAAGCCACGGCUAACUACGUG